rnacentral:misc_RNA from 1 species
AAGUCGUAACAAGGUUUUCCGUAGGUUGAAUCCUUGCGGAAGGAUCAUUACCGAGUUCUCCUCGCUCUGCAGGAACUCCCACCCUUGAUUACUAUAGGCGUUGCUUCGGCGAGACGCUGGAACAGCCAUUGACCUCUCACGUCGAUGCGUGCUCGCCGGAGUUUCAUACUCUACAUUAUGUGUCGGUCAGAGAAUCAAAAAUCUAAAAAA